GACGAACGCUGGCGGCGUGCUUAACACAUGCAAGUCGAACGGAAAGGCCCUGCUUUUGUGGGGUGCUCGAGUGGCGAACGGGUGAGUAACACGUGAGUAACCUGCCCUUGACUUUGGGAUAACUUCAGGAAACUGGGGCUAAUACCGGAUAGGAGCUCCUGCUGCAUGGUGGGGGUUGGAAAGUUUCGGCGGUUGGGGAUGGACUCGCGGCUUAUCAGCUUGUUGGUGGGGUAGUGGCUUACCAAGGCUUUGACGGGUAGCCGGCCUGAGAGGGUGACCGGCCACAUUGGGACUGAGGUACGGCCCAGACACCUACGGGAGGCAGCAGUGGGGAAUAUUGCACAAUGGGCGGAAGCCGGAUGCAGCAACGCCGCGUGCGGGAUGACGGCCUUCGGGUUGUAAACCGCUUUCGCCUGUGACGAAGCGUGAGUGACGGUAAUGGGUAAAGAAGCACCGGCUAACUACGUG
rnacentral:rRNA from 1 species